rnacentral:lncRNA from 1 species
UUGACCGGAUGACUCUCUCUCAGUUUGAUCGUCACACAAAGGGGCACCCAAUAAUUCGUUGCAGAUAGAGUUUGUGAGCAAAUAUCAUUACAUAAACAACAACACAAACAAUUAAAACAACUACAAUACAAUAACUAGGCGAUUACAACAAUCAAAAUAAUUUUGAACAUGUAAUGCAUCAUCCUGCCAACGUCUCGGUCAGUCUUAAUAUUCACCCAUUCACACACUUCUCCAUUUUGG